UGCUGAAGUUAACGCAUUAAGCACUCCGCCUGGGGAGUACGGUCGCAAGACUGAAACUCAAAGGAAUUGACGGGGGCCCGCACAAGCGGUGGAGCAUGUGGUUUAAUUCGAAGCAACGCGAAGAACCUUACCAGGUCUUGACAUCCUCUGACAAUCCUAGAGAUAGGACUUCCCCUUCGGGGGCAGAGUGACAGGUGGUGCAUGGUUGUCGUCAGCUCGUGUCGUGAGAUGUUGGGUUAAGUCCCGCAACGAGCGCAACCCUUGAUCUUAGUUGCCAGCAUUCAGUUGGGCACUCUAAGGUGACUGCCGGUGACAAACCGGAGGAAGGUGGGGAUGACGUCAAAUCAUCAUGCCCCUUAUGACCUGGGCUACACACGUGCUACAAUGGACAGAACAAAGGGCAGCAAAACCGCGAGGUGAAGCCAAUCUCACAAAACUGUUCUCAGUUCGGAUUGCAGGCUUGCAACUCGACUGCUUGAAGCUGGAAUCGCUUAGUAAUCGCGGAUCAUCAUG
rnacentral:rRNA from 1 species